rnacentral:rRNA from 1 species
AGUGAACGCUGGCGGUAGGCCUAACACAUGCCAGUCGAACGGCAGCACAGUAAGAGCUUGCUCUUACGGGUGGCGAGUGGCGGACGGGUGAGGAAUACAUCGGAAUCUACUUUUUCGUGGGGGAUAACGUAGGGAAACUUACGCUAAUACCGCAUACGACCUACGGGUGAAAGCAGGGGAUCUUCGGACCUUGCGCGAUUGAAUGAGCCGAUGUCGGAUUAGCUAGUUGGCGGGGUAAAGGCCCACCAAGGCGACGAUCCGUAGCUGGUCUGAGAGGAUGAUCAGCCACACUGGAAAUGAGACACGGUCCAGACUCCUACGGGAGGCAGCAGUGGGGAAUAUUGGACAAUGGGCGCAAGCCUGAUCCAGCCAUACCGCGUGGGUGAAGAAGGCCUUCGGGUUGUAAAGCCCUUUUGUUGGGAAAGAAAAGCAGCAGGUUAAUACCCCGCUGUUCUGACGGUACCCAAAGAAUAAGCACCGGCUAACUUCGUG